GCAGUGUUGGGGACGUGCCCCUGCCCCGCUGGAGCUCACAUUCUACCGGGGAGACAGAUGACACAGAAGUAAAACCACUAUGCGAUGAUGUUGGAGGGAAGAGGUGAUCUGGGUGGGGGCUAGAGAGGGGGGAGCAGAGGGACCCCAUUACUGAGAGCAAUGGAGGAAGAUCUCUGGACAGAUGACGGGUUCUGAGAAAACAAGAGGGAGCCAAACAAGGGAAGUGAAAGGGGAGUGGGUGAUGGGGCCUCAGUGGCAGGGUGGCCCUGUGGCAGACCCAUGAUGCCCAAAGUGUCUUGUGAUCUGAGCUGAGGUCACCAGCCCCUGCACUGCAGUCUGCCCUGGACUCUCACUCUCACUUUGUCUGUUUGUGUGUAUUUGACAUGCAUCUGGGGUUCACACACACACACACACACACACACACACACACACACACGAUUCCUGGGCACCUCUUAACCGUCAUAACCCAGCCCCAGGUCAUAACCCAGCCCCAGGCCCUCCCAGCCCAGCGUGUUUUCUGAGGUUCCCGACAGAGGCACCUGAAGAAACAGUCCUGCUAAUUGCUUUUUAAUUGUCUGCAAAAAGAGCAUGUGACGGGCCCAGUUCCCUGCAGAUCUAAGUCCCCAUGCUUUACCCCAUCUCACAUUCUCACUUUGUCUUGCCCUUUCUUUCUCCCCAUCACUCAGGCCAGGAGCCGGCUACUUUCGGGGGCUGUCUUUCACCAAAAAACAAAGAUUUCCUCACUGCAUGAUAGUAUAGCCAAAGUGGCGUCAAGUAGCAAGUAGCACAGUUACAUGGCGGUUGAUUUGUGCCAGGACAAUUCCCAGGACCUAGCUCCCAGCUGCAGCCUCUGCACUGGAGACAUGUCUGUGCCUCAGCAACCAGGAGACCCUGUGACUUUACUGCCCCCCGUCCCUGGCAAGGAGUAGAAAUCUCCACUUGUAAUCCAAAAUACCAGCAGUUGCGUUGCCGUUCCUUCCAGUUCUGGGAGCCUGGGUCCCAUCCCUGUCUGCAGAUGUGUUUUAUCGACCUACUUAGAGUGUGUGUGUAUGUGUGUGUGUUUUAAUAAAAUUGAGCCCAACUCAGAAAAAUCAAGUAAUUGAACAAAAAAAAUCCAGAUUUCUGACUUCUCUUGGAAAUGAGGGAGAUGUGGUAAGACCAGGCCCGCAUUCCUUGAUGGUGGUGAUAGCCAAGAUUGAGUAGGGACCUCCUCUUGAGAAGAGGCCUCUGUUCUGUGUCCACCCCUCCCAGGGCACCUCCAGGCCUCUCACUGCCAGCCUCCCUCCUGACUUUGGAAUAUCACAUGUGCCCAGCAACUGACAUCCAAGGAGCUCGCAGACCCCAGAGGUGACCUGUGUGUCCCUGUUAGACGUGAUUCUUGAGGAUGAGGACAACAAUUCUUGGGUCCUCCUUUUAAUGAGCUGAGUGAUAUAUGAUUGGACAAGCCUGGCUGCACCUUAGAAUCCCUUGAGGAACUUUGUAAAAAAAAUUCCAGGGCCCAGGUCAUCCCACAAACCAAUUAACUCAGGAGCUCUGGGGGUGGGGCCCCAGCCUUGGUAGUUUUUAAAGCUCUCUAGUGAUUCCAAUGUGCAGCCAGGUUGGAGCCCUCCCCUGCCCAUGAAGUGCUUCAUUACAUCAUCUCAGUGAGGACACGGUUGAUGUUAGUGAGAAUGCACAGUCGUCCCUCAGUAUCCACACGAACUGGCUCCAGGUUGCCCUGGGGGUACCAAACUCCUUGGAUGCUCAAGUUCCUUAUGGUACAAAAUGGCUUGGUGCCCUGAGCCCUCUUUAUCCAUGGGUUCCACAUGUGUGAUUUAACCAAUGGCGGAUCCACCUGAUUGGUUGAAUCUGAGAAUUCUUAACUUAUGAAUACGAAGGACCAACUUAUACCAUAGGCUAGAGGAAGCUGCCUCAGCCCACCCAGAACUCUCAGAGAAGGGAAGUUUUCAAUAGCACUUGUUACCAACAUGAUUAAGUGCAAAGCCGCCCGGCGUCCCUCCCAUCCCUCUUCUUUUACUGAUGCUGACCUGGUUGCUCUCCAAAACCAAGAGGAAGGACCAGGGACCUCUGCUCUGAUGCUGCAUGAUUCAUGAGGAAUUGAUUCCAGCCCCACCCACCCUCUGUCCUGUGAAGCCCCAAGUGUGUAAAGAAUUUCCCAGAGAGCAUUGUCAUGAUCCAUCAGAAUAACUGUAGACUAAGUAUGGAACAGACUGAAGAUGGUUUGGUUUUGGAUAGAAGAAUUUGAGAUAUUGAGAUAGGCUUUGAGAAUGGUUUGGUUCUGAAUAUUUCCCAACUUCGCUUCCUUAAGCAAGAUGACACAUUUGGUGAAUUAAUAAUGAUGACCCUUCAUGGGUUUGGGGAGUAAGUAAGCCCAUGACAAGCCAGCUCUGGCUCGGUGACAGUGUCCUCAUCUGCUUUGUCUACCCAACAAAUCAGGCUCUUUUCCUAUGCGGAGCCCUGGUAUUGGUUGAGUGCUCAGCCCUUCAGCCAGUAAGGGCGGAUCAGGGUAAAUAAUUUCCUUUCCUCCAACCAGCACAGAGACCUCAGUUACACUGUCCCUGUGCUUGAGGGUUUUUUCAUCCAGGGGAUUUAAUAUGCUAAUGAGUUGCUGCACAGGGAUGGCACUUGAAGGAAAGAGUUGCCUUUCAGUCAUCACUUUGUGUCAACAAGUGGCGCUGUGCCAGGCCCAAGGGCUCUGUCAUUCCUGCAGCCCAGCAGGGGGACUGACAGACAAACUGGUGGAUGCAAAGCCUAGUGUGAGCAACGGGCCCAGAGGAGAGAAGGCCCAGCAGAGGCAAUGUGUGGAGUCAGGAAAAGGCCCAGAGGUGAUAGGAAAGGCCCAGGGGAGGCAGGACGAGUCACGUUGGGGCAGGACGCAGAGCUUCAGGAUAAGGACAUGAAGCCGCAUUCGGGAAUAAGGGCUCGAAGUGAGUCAGAGUUCCAGGACACAGUCACACACUCAAAAGGAAGGCAGAGGAGAGCUACAAAGGGGCUACACUCAGAGGUGUGGGCAGGGCUCAGGAAACCAACCACAGAGAGUGAAGCCCGGGGUUCACAUCAGUGGGAAGGGACGUUUGUUACAUCCCUAGGUCUGAAGCACUAAGAGAAGGGAGCUGUAAUUGGAAUUGUGUAAGAGAGUCACCGAAAAGGAGCUACCUAUGGCCUUAGAUGGAGGGACACAGCCUGUGCCAACCACAGUCUGACAAGGAGCAAGCCAGGGCUUCAAUACCCUGCCCAUCUCUGGUCCCGCCUCCCAUCUCCAUCAGUGCCUCCCAUUGGUUAAAAUCCCAGGGAGCAUAGCAGGCAAGGGGGAACCAGGUUGGUGAUGUCCACAGAGGCCCUACAGAGCAGGACAGAGAAGGAAGGAUGUGGAUCGUGGGUAUCAAGAGGACAUUCCUUAGACUUUAUCUGAUAGAUCUGCGAAGUUCUUUUUUCAAACAAAAUCACAGAGAUUUAAAACUUCAGUGAAAUAGAUAAAAGAUUAUUUAUUCCAAAUAUGUAUCUUGGGGUGCUUUUGAAGCCCACCCCAACAGAAGUAGUGGUGGAGAAAUCAAGGGAAGGGCUCUUGGUCCCAAAGACAGAAGGAAGGCCUGGAUGAAGUCUGUCACCUUUGGAGUUCCCGUCAUGGCUCAGUGGUUAACGAAUCCGACUAGGGACCAUGAGGUUGCGGGUUCAAUCCCUGGCCUUGCUCAGUGGAUUAAGGAUCCGGCGUUGUUGUGAGCUGUGGUGUAGGUCACAGACAUGGCUUGGAUCCUGUGUUGCUGUGACUCCGGCGUAGGCCAGCAACUACAGCUCCAAUUAGAUCCCUAGCCUGGGAACCUCCAUAUGCAGCGGGAGCGGCCCAAGAAAUGGCAAAAAAGACAAAAAAAAAAAAAAAAGGUGAGAGUUAAGUUUUACUUGGGGCAAAAUGAGGACUACAGCCCAGGAGGCAGCAUUUCAGAUAGCUCUGAAAUACUGUGCAAAGAGGCAGGGGGAAGAUCAGUACCUAUGUGAUUUUGGUGAAGAGAGAGGUACAUGCAACUAGGCACACAUUUUACAGAAGGUUGCUGUUAGUCCCCUGAAGUUUACUCCUUGUCACAAGGAGCAGAUGUCACCAUGAAGGAUUUUAGUGCUUUUCCAGGUACUAGGAGAUGCAAGAAUUGGGCUUGUAUAAAAUCUUCUCCUGAAAAUAUCUAACUAUCUAAAGACCCGUUCUGCCAGUUUUCCCAGAGCACAGAGCCCCUCACUCCUGAUCCCCACCCUGAGCUCCUUUCAAGGGCUAUUGAGGGUCCACAGCUGCAGUGGCUCGUGAUUCAGUAUGUGUAGAGGCAGAUGGCAUGUGUCAAUCUCCAGUUCACAGGACCUUAGGAGUAGGGUUGGGGAGGAGCAAGCUGAUGUAGAAGGGCCCUAUCCGUGGAACUUGAUGACUGGGUGCACGCGGGAGUUAGGCAGGGGAAGAUGUGAGGACACCAAUGUCCAUUCAUUCACUCAUUCAUUCAGCCAAUAUUUAUCGAGGACCUGCCAUGUGCCAGGUAUGGCUGGUGGUGCUAAGGACACUACAGCAAUGAAAACAAAAAAUCUCCAACCUCGUGGAAUUUAUCUUCCAGUAGGAAAGGUACACAAACAAAUAAGCUGGUGAAUAUAGAGUAUGUCGGAUGGUACCAAAAAAGGAAGAGAUGCAGGAAGCAGAUGGCAGAGUUGCUACAGUGAUGUGCUUGUAAAUGUUUAACUACCAGCUCUCUGGGGAAAAUUUAAAAACCCUGAUUUGUAGUGUUUUCUGUUUUCCAUUGUGCAAAUACUCCCCCCACAGCCAAUUGCAAGCUCCAGUGUGAUGCCACUAAAUACAGAGUUGGAAAAAGAUGAUUGGUGGCCUGCCAUUACAUAGUAUUUCCAUGAUAUAGAGACAAUAAAUGUAAAUUACCCAUAGGGCAAAGAUAAUAGUAAUAGAAUUUAAAAGUGAUGAGUUUAGGUAUUCAUUACCUUUAUUCUUAACAUAAGUUAUUUCAUUACAAGUUGAUAUGAUUCAAUUUUUUUUUAAAUGUUCCCCCUCCCUUUUGUUUGGUCGCCCUGCAGCAUAUGGGGUUCCCAGGCCAGGGCCAGGGAUCAGAUAUGAGCUGCAGUUCUGACCUAUGCCGAAGCUGCAGCCAGAGCCUUAACCUACUGUGCUGGGCUGGGGAUGGAACCUGCGUCCCAGGGUUCCAGAGAUGCUGCUAAUCCCAUUGUGCUCCAGUAGGAACUCCUAUGAUUUAAUUUUUAAUAAUGAUUAUAAUCAAUAACCAGCUUUCACAGUUCCUAAAAUCUUAACCAUCUGUUGUAACAAGCCAAUAUAAGCCAGUUCUAGAAUGCCACCAAGUUGCUGGGACUGUAAUUAUCCCAGUAUCAUCCUGAUCAGAUUUGGGCACUCCACCAGGCGUGAGCACAUUUGAUUGAUGAAUAAAGUGGUCUCUUUUCUGAAGUGCCCCUUGCAGAGUGAUGAGAAGCUAGUUUGGAAUAGACAAGGAUGAGGAAACCAUGCCUUGGAUGAAGCCCUCCAACAAUGACCCAGAGUCUGACCCAGGCACAAUUGGGAGUUUAUGCAUCUGAGCACCUGCCAUGCACAUAACAUUUUCAGACACUACCCAAAGUAGAAAUGCAAGGUCCUAAAGAAAAUGCAAAAAAAUCCAAGGAUAUGUAAAAAGGUUUAUCAUGAUCUAAGUUGGUUCAUUUCAUGAAUACAAAGUUGAUUUAAAAAUCAAAAAGUGAAGGAAUUACUUCCCAUCAUGGCACAGUGGAAAUGACUAGUAUCUAUGAGGAUGCAUGUUCGAUCCCUAGCCUCGCUCAGUGAGUUAAGUAUCUGGUGUUGCUGUGGCUGUAGUAUAGGCCAGCAGCUACAGCUCCAAUUCUACCCCUAGCCUGGGAGCCUCCAUAUGCUGUGGGUG
rnacentral:lncRNA from 1 species